GAUUGCUAAAUUCUAAGGUGCCAUCAACAAAUGUAAAAAUGGAUGUUCUUCAUACCAAAAAGAGCUUCCUGGUGCCCAUUCUGUUGUCUCGGAAUUAAUUCCAGAAGUAAGACAUUCCUUUAAUUAGCUAUACCAAUUGGGAAUUUGUUCUGCUUCAAAAACAUUUCUGAUCCCAUAAAAUGCAGAUGAUCUUUGUUGAUUCUUCUUUUAUCUUUUUGCAACCCAACAGAUCUCAGCUGAGGCUUCUUGUAUGGAGCAGUUCUGACUAGACCAAAAUGAAGAGAAGGACAAGGUGGCAGCAGUCCAUCACUGGUGUUACUAUAGCUUACAUACAUGCAACUGCCUCCAAAACCCAAUUACCCCAGGCUUUAACAUCACUUAAAACCGCAGGAAGUCCAACAGUCUAUGUUGCUGUUGACGUGUUCUGGCUUUUGUCUGAGAAAAGAAGAGAACAGUAAAAAUUGGUCAAAGUGUCAUUGACUGUUCUUAUUCCUGGCACAUGUAAUUGAGGAGUCAACAAGGAAAGGAUCUGUCCUGGACCUGAUACUUACAAACAAGGAAGAAUUGGUUGGCGUGUGAAAGUCAGAGACAGCCUUGAUUGCAGUGCUGAUGCUCAAGAUCCUAAAAGGAGGGAGCAGUGCAAAAGAGGUGCCACCGGCCUGACAGAAGGGCUCAGCUGUGUCCUGUGGUGUGUCUGCUGAAAGUGGCUGGAACCAGCUGCAAAGCUGCCCAUGAAAGAAGAGAUGGCCAAUAUUCCUAUAUCUGGCAUGAGGGAUGAUGCAGAAUUGUGGAGUGAGGAAAGCUGCUCUCCCAGUUGGAAACAUCACAUUUGAAAAUGGUGAUGACUGCUUGAAACCAAGUGUCAGACCAGUCACACAGAUUUGGAGCCGCAAAGAGAAAGAAGAAUGAAGAACAAAGGAAUGGCUUCCCACCCCUGCAACAAGAGAAACAUAAUAAGCAAAAUAACAAAAAAAAAAUAUUUUUCUACAGUAUUUUUUUAUAAGAUAUGGGAGUGAGUCUAUACUGAAAGUUGAGGGUUUGGAAUCCUUUGUGAUACUAUUCCUCUUUUCAUUUAUUGGCUUGCUCUUCCCUCUGAUUCAUACUGCAGAUCACUAAGAUCUCUGGAGAACUGCAAGCAUAGAAUCGUGGAAUAUCCUAAAUUGGUAGGGACCCACAAGGGUCAUCAAAAGUCCAGCUCCUGGCCCUGCAGAGGAUCACAUGAAGAAUCAGCAUGGUCCUGAAAGCAUUAUCCAAGCGCUUCUUGAUCUCUGUCAGGCUUGGUGCUGUGACCACUUCCCUGGGGAGCCUGUUCCAGCGCCUAACAACCCUCUGGGUGAAAAACCUCUUCCUAAUAUCUAACCUAAACUUGCCCUGAUACAGCUUCAUGCCAUUCCCUUGUGUCCUAAUGCUGGUGACCAGAGAGAAGAGAUCAGUGCCCACCCCUCUUUUUUACCCUCAUGAGGAAGCUGUAGACCACAAAGAAUUUUCCCCUCAGUCUCCUUUCAGCUGAACAAGCCAAGUAACCUCAGCCACUCAUCAUAAAGCUUCCCCUCAUCCCAUCGCCGUGGGUGACCCAGAUUAGAAAAGUGUGCAAAAAAUUGACUCUCUCCUGUCGAAAACCACAACAGGGAAGAAGAAAAAGAAAGGGGGAUUGUUGGGAGUUAUGGUGUUUGUCUUCCCAAGACACCUCAAUGCAUUAUGGAUCUCUGCUUUUGUGGGGAUUGCUGGACACCUGCCUGCCCAUGGGAAGUGGUGAACAUUCUUUUUUUUUUGCUUUGCUUGUGCACAGAACUUUUGGUUUACCUAUUAAACUGUCUUUAUUGCAAUCACAAGCUUUAUCACCUUUCUGAUUGUUUCCCCCAUCCCAAUGCAGGGGAAGUGAGUGAGUGGCCAGGUGUGGCUUAGUUGGUGAAUGGGAUUUAACCAUGACAACUAUGGAACAAAGCCCACAUGAAUGUCACACUACCUGUUGCUAGAAAACUUUAGGAUUACUAAUUUAUUUUCUACUUCAUUUGUUAUUUGGAAAGCUGGGCUACAACACACAAUAAGUUGCAGUGAUAAGUGCAUUUUUCUACUAAGGAGAGAAGGAAAACAACAAAAUGGCUGAAGUCAACGGUACAAAAAAUCCUUUGUUUGGGACUCGGCCCAAAGGGUAGGACUAGAUACAUGAUCCCAGAUGUGAGGAACAAAUAGCCCAGAUAUAAGCACCAAAUGAAAUCUAACUGAGUGAGAGUGGAGACCUUCUUCAGCUAUGUUCCAAAAUUAAUGUCAUUCAAAUAACUUCUACAAAGGAAAAGGCAAUACAGUGCAUAUUUUAUCUCAUUUCUUUCUUUAGAGAUCCUGAAACUUCACUUUGCAGUCCCAUUUUUAUAAUACCUUCCCUUCUAAAGAUAUGGUUGAUGCCUGGACUUGGAGAAAGGAAUUGUCAUUUGGAGUAGAAUUUUAUUUUUAAAACAUGCACUGUUUGUCAAAAGCACAUCCACAAACAGGAGAAAAAUAUAAGAAAAGAAAAUAAUAUUAUCAAAUGCAUGCAUCUUACUUCACAGAUAGACUUUAUAGCAGCAUAAAUCCAUGCAUCAGAAACAUAAAUUACACACAGUGUACCCAAUAUCUAAACUUUUAAAGUAGAUACGUAAGAAGUUUGAAGUAAAUGAUCUAGUAAAUGGUCAUCCCAACUACAUGAAUUUCAGGGAACCAAAAAAGGUACAUCCAAUGUAAUCAUCUGUAAAAUGCCUUGACUUUCCAGUCCAAGAUCCUGGCUCACAGAAAGUUAUUUUCAUAGCUGGAUUUCUAUACUUAAAUGCAGUGGUAGAAGGUAUAAAAUUGAUCUGCUGCUAGCUAAGGGUGCUUUGGAGAUUUUUUUGGUUUGGAACUGGACAGCAAUGAUAGUACCAGUUGUGGCUGAUCUUGGUAUGGACGUUCAUUUGUUUGACAUAAUCUUGAACAAAGCUCCACUCUAAGUAUUCUUCAUAAUACUUUGUACAAAAUUACAGAAAAUGUAUUAUUUGAUUUGUAUGUAUAGGCACUGAAGGGUGGUGGCUCUGUUUAUUCUUUGAUCUGCACUUGAAAUAAUAAAGAAAAAUCUAAAGCCAAAUCAGAACUCAUCAAAGGAAACAUCUGAAUUA